CCAAUAUAUCGCACACCUAGAUAAAGGGUCGCACAACUCGAAAUAAUUCAAAAUCAAGUUUUCGCGCCUAUCGGAAUCUGCGUUGAGAAUUACACUAACUUCAAAGACACCUGUUUACUAAUCUCCAUUAAUAAAAUGUUGAUGGCGCUGUAAGUUAGUCUUUCUGACUAGCACCACGUACACCCCUCACCAACAACAGUAACGCAUCACCAAUUACAACAUGUCAGCUGUAGGAAAAGAUGCUGUCAAUACGCCCAAAUACUAAAUUAUUUCGACUUAGUUUUCUAUUUGUGGUUAACUAAGUAAUGAAGCGUAAAUUAUUUUGAGUUCAGUUGAUAUUCGUGAUUGAACAGUUUUGUUUCUUGGGCGUGCUUCAAAUUAUUUCCACUUACCCUGGUAUUGUUUACAAAAAAGGCGAUGGAGGCUACUACUUAAGACCCUGAAAGCAGCAAUGCGGAGAUGGCGCUCCCAGAGAACUCAACAACACCUUCGACGAGCACCAAGGAGAUAGAACAAAUAA